rnacentral:rRNA from 1 species
AGUGAACGCUGGCGGUAGGCCUAACACAUGCAAGUCGAACGGCAGCACAGUAAGAGCUUGCUCUUACGGGUGGCGAGUGGCGGACGGGUGAGGAAUACAUCGGAAUCUACUUUUUCGUGGGGGAUAACGUAGGGAAACUUACGCUAAUACCGCAUACGACCUACGGGUGAAAGCAGGGGAUCUUCGGACCUUGCGCUAUUGAAUGAGCCGAUGUCGGAUUAGCUAGUUGGCGGGGUAAAGGCCCACCAAGGCGACGAUCCGUAGCUGGUCUGAGAGGAUGAUCAGCCACACUGGAACUGAGACACGGUCCAGACUCCUACGGGAGGCAGCAGUGGGGAAUAUUGGACAAUGGGCGCAAGCCUGAUCCAGCCAUACCGCGUGGGUGAAGAAGGCCUUCGGGUUGUAAAGCCCUUUUGUUGGGAAAGAAAAGCAGCAGGUUAAUACCCCGCUGUUCUGACGGUACCCAAGGAAUAAGCACCGGCUAACUUCGUG